rnacentral:rRNA from 1 species
UACGAAGGGGGCUAGCGUUGCUCGGAAUUACUGGGCGUAAAGCGCACGUAGGCGGUCUUUUAAGUCGGGGGUGAAAUCCUGGAGCUCAACUCCAGAACUGCCUUCGACACUGGAAGACUCGAGUCCGGGAGAGGUGAGUGGAACUGCGAGUGUAGAGGUGAAAUUCGUAGAUAUUCGCAAGAACACCAGUGGCGAAGGCGGCUCACUGGCCCGGUACUGACGCUGAGGUGCGAAAGCGUGGGGAGCAAACAGGG